GUUCCCAUGCCGAACACAGAAGUUAAGCUCCUUAGCGUCGAUGGUAGUCGAACUUACGUUCCGCUUGAGUAGAACGUUGCCAGGC
rnacentral:rRNA from 1 species